rnacentral:lncRNA from 1 species
AUAUUAUCUUAGGGAGAAUCUAUACUGAAAGUCUAAAUAAAUUGAAAGUAAAAAUUCUUUCUGUUAAGAUGAGGCUGUUACAUCACUUGGUAAUCAAACUGUUUGUCCCUAGGAGUGGUAGACACGACCUUCUAUCUGGUAGGGAUAUUUGCAUUAUGUACCAUGUGAUCACCCAAACCCCCUCCGAACCUUCCAGCAUUGAUGUUUGAGGCCAUGAGGAAAAUUCUGAACAGGUCCAAGGCU